UAUUUAAAUUUAUUUGAUUAAUUUAUUUUUUUUUAUUGUAUUUUUUAUAAAAAUAAUUUAUUUGUUUAAAGUUUAAGUAUUAAUUAAAAAAUAAUUAUUAGUUUGAUAGUUUAAUAGUAUUGUGAAAGAAAUUUAUUUAAUUAAUUUUAAGAAUAUUAAUUAGUACCUUUUGUAUCAGGGUUAAUUAAAAUUUUUAAUUUAUUUUAAUUUCUCAAAAUUUAUAGAGUUAAUUUUAUUAUUAAGUUAUUGUAUUAAAAAUAUUUAUAAAAUAAUUUUAGUUUUAAAAUUUAAUUCGUUAUAUUAUAUUUAGUUAUUUAAGAUUUAAAUUUAAUUUAAAAUUUUAAAAGUUAAAUUAAUUUUUUUUUAUUAAUAUUUUAAAUUUAUAUUAUUUUAGGGAUAAGCUUAAAAUUUGUAUAUAAUAAUUAUUUAAUUUAAUAAUUUAUAGAAAUAGAAAUUUUUAUUUAAAGUUUGUAAAAAUUUAUUAUUUAUUAUAAUUAAAUUUAUUAUAAUUUAUUUAUUUUUUAUAUUAAAUUUUAUAAAUUAAUUUUUUAUUUAUAGUAAUAAUGAUUAAAUUAGUAUAAUAUAUAUUUAUAAAUUAUGAAUUCGGCAAAAUUAAUUUUUAUCUGUUUAACAAAAACAUUGUAUUAAGUUUAAUUUAAUAUAGAAUCUGCUCAAUGAUUUAUUAAAUAGCUGCAGUAUUUUGACUGUGCAAAGGUAGCAUAAUAAUUAGUCUUUUAAUUGGGGACUUGUAUGAAAGAUUUGAUAAAAAAUUAACUUUAUUAUUUAUAUAAUUAAAAUUUUAUUUUUAAGUAAAAAAGCUUAAAUAUUUUAAAGGGACGAUAAGACCCUAUAAAACUUUAUAUUUAAUAAUUUUUAAUUUUUUGGAUUAUUAUAAAUAUUUAAUUUUUAUUAAUUAUUUUAUUGGGGUGAUAAAAAAAAUUAAUUAACUUUUUUUAAAAUUUAACAUUAUUUAAUGAUAAUUUGAAUUAGAAUUUUUAAUUAUAAGAAAAAGUUACUUUAGGGAUAACAGCGUAAUUAAUUUUUUAAGUUCAAAUUUAAAAAUUAGU
rnacentral:rRNA from 1 species